AUGUUUCUUUGCACGCCUCAUCUCCAAGCACGAAGCCACGACGAGAUGGUCUGGUCUUGGUACUAUGUUGAUAGCGAGGGUGCAAGGCUCAAGGGAAGCAGCCGGUUCUGUAGUUCUUUGUAUGCUUAUGGUAUCUUGGAUGAGGGUUACAAAUUCAACAUGUCAGUUGAGGAAGCUGCUGAGUUAGCAUGGCGGGCUUUUAUCACGCAAUAUUCUGUGACAGAGCUAGUGGUGGCUGUGUUCCUGGUGGGCUUGACAGACCAGUUUUUAUCCGGAAGAAAGGCCUUUAGCGUGCGUUUGGAUCUGAAGAAAUAA
rnacentral:rRNA from 1 species